CACACUAUCAUUACGUGAAUACAUAGCGUAAUGAAGCGAACCGGGGGAACUGAAACAUCUAAGUACCCCGAGGAAAAGAAAUCAACCGAGAUUCCCCCAGUAGCGGCGAGCGAACGGGGAGCAGCCCAGAGUCUGAAUCAGCUUGUGUGUUAGUGGAACGGUCUGGAAAGUCCGACGGUACAGGGUGAUAGUCCCGUACACCAAAAUGCACAGGUUGUGAACUCGAAGAGUAGGGCGGGACACGUGGUAUCCUGUCUGAAUAUGGGGGGACCAUCCUCCAAGGCUAAAUACUCCUGACUGACCGAUAGUGAACCAGUACCGUGAGGGAAAGGCGAAAAGAACCCCGGCGAGGGGAGUGAAAAAGAACCUGAAACCGUGUACGUACAAGCAGUGGGAGCCUCUUUAUGGGGUGACUGCGUACCUUUUGUAUAAUGGGUCAGCGACUUAUAUUCUGUAGCAAGGUUAACCGUAUAGGGGAGCCGAAGGGAAACCGAGUCUUAACUGGGCGUUAAGUUGCAGGGUAUAGACCCGAAACCCGGUGAUCUAGCCAUGGGCAGGUUGAAGGUUGGGUAACACUAACUGGAGGACCGAACCGACUAAUGUUGAAAAAUUAGCGGAUGACUUGUGGCUGGGGGUGAAAGGCCAAUCAAACCGGGAGAUAGCUGGUUCUCCCCGAAAGCUAUUUAGGUAGCGCCUCGUGAA
rnacentral:rRNA from 1 species